rnacentral:rRNA from 1 species
CACGCACCCCGGCGGCGUGCAUCACCCCACCACGCAGAACGCGAAGGAGGAGCCUUCUUCUCAGGGCAGAGUUGCGAAGCGGUGAGUAACGCGAAGGUAAACAACCUGGUAGCGGAGGAUAACCAUUGGCAACGAUAGCUAAUACCGCAUAAGAGUAGAUGUGCAUGACAUUUACUUAAAAAGGGCAACUGCAUCACUACCAGAAGGACAUGCGUUGUAUAGCUAGUUGGUGGGGUAACGGCUCACCAAGGCGACGAUACAUAGCCGACCUGAGAGGGUGAUCGGCCACACUGGGACUGAGACACGGCCCAGACUCCCCCCCGGCUUUUUUCAGUAGGGAAUCUUCGGCAAUGGGGGGAGGUCUGACCGAGCAACGCCGCGUGAGUGAAGAAGGUUUUCGGAUCGUAAAGCUCUGUUGUAAGAGAAGAACGAGUGUGAGAGUGGAAAGUUCACACUGUGACGGUAUCUUACCAGAAAGGGACGGCUAACUACGUGCCAGCAGCCGCGGUAAUACGUAGGUCCCGAGCGUUGUCCGGAUUUAUUGGGCGUAAAGCGAGCGCAGGCGGUUAGAUAAGUCUGAAGUUAAAGGCUGUGGCUUAACCAUAGUACGCUUUGGAAACUGUUUAACUUGAGUGCAAGAGGGGAGAGUGGAAUUCCAUGUGUAGCGGUGAAAUGCGUAGAUAUAUGGAGGAACACCGGUGGCGAAAGCGGCUCUCUGGAUUGUAACUGACGCUGAGGCUCGAAAGCGUGGGGAGCAAACAGG